rnacentral:lncRNA from 1 species
ACCGACACCUUCUUCCCAGUGCGGCCCGGGCUGCGGCCCCGGGUCCGAGGAGGCCCGGGGAGACCCGGAGGAGGUCAGAAGGCCUUCAGGGUCCCCGGGAUGGGGUGGAAACUGAGACCCAGAGAGCCGUGACUUGACUGAUCCCACAGCCAGGAAAUGGUGGAGCCUGGAUUUGAACCCCAGCUUUUAAGAAGAAGGUGCCACUGUCCUGGAAGAACUCUCAGGACAGCAUUAGUGUCUCAGGGAUCCCCCUAAUCGGAGGGGCCUUAAGGCAACCUAAUCAUGAUUGUCACUGAAGAUCCAGGAGGGCUUCCUGGAGGAGGAGGCAGCUCCAUUCUGAAAUGCCAAGGGUACAGCUUUAUUGGGACAGCCAGUGUCUCUGAAUAUGUAGGUUUUGCACAGAGCUUGUACUGCCCCAGGGCCUGUACACUGCCUGUCCCCUCUGCCUUGUGCACUCUUUCCCUAGAUGUCCAAAUGGCUCCUUUCCUCACCUACCCCAAAUCUCAAUUCCAGUGUUUCCCCAGCCUCCCCUCAUUUCAGUAAUCACUCUGCAGUGAGCUAGGAUUGCGCCACUGCACUCCAGCUUGGAUAAGAGAACAAGACCCUGUCUCUUAACUAAAUACAUAAAUAAAAAUAAUUCCCCUCUUCA